rnacentral:rRNA from 1 species
UACGUAGGGUGCGAGCGUUAAUCGGAAUUACUGGGCGUAAAGUGUGCGCAGGCGGCUUCGCAAGUCGAGUGUGAAAUCCCCGAGCUUAACUCGGGAAUUGCGCUCGAAACUACGGAGCUGGAGUGUGGCAGAGGAAGGUGGAAUUCCACGUGUAGCGGUGAAACGCGUAGAGAUGUGGAGGAACACCGAUGGCGAAGGCAGCCUUCUGGGCCAACACUGACGCUCAUGCACGAAAGCGUGGGGAGCAAACAGG